UGGGGAAUAUUGCACAAUGGGCGAAAGCCUGAUGCAGCAACGCCGCGUGAGCGAUGAAGGCCUUCGGGUCGUAAAGCUCUGUCCUCAAGGAAGAUAAUGACGGUACUUGAGGAGGAAGCCCCGGCUAACUACGUGCCAGCAGCCGCGGUAAUACGUAGGGGGCUAGCGUUAUACGGAAUUACUGGGCGUAACGGGUGCGUAGGUGGUUUCUUAAGUCAGAGGUGAAAGGCGACGGCUCAACCGUAGUAAGCCGUUGAAACUGGGAAACUUGAGUGCAGGAGAGGAGAGUGGAAGUCCUAGUGUAGCGGUGAAAUGCGUAGAUAUUAGGAGGAACACCAGUUGCGAAGGCGGCUCUCUGGACUGUAACUGACACUGAGGCACGAAAGCGUGGGGAGCAAACA
rnacentral:rRNA from 1 species